GUAAAAAAAAAAAAAAAAAAAAAAAAGAAACUUUAAAAUCGCCGCCGGGAAAAAAGGCGGGAGAAGCCCCGGCAGGUUUGAAGCUGCUUCUUCGAAUUUGCAAUUCAAUAUGAAAAUCACCUCAGAGCUGGUAAAAAGAGGCUUAACCCCUGUCUUUAGAUUUACAGUCCAAUGCUUCACUCAGCCAUUUUACCUCACCAGAUCAAUACCUUUCCUUAUCUCUCAAUGUCAUUAGAUAUAUACAUUUUAAUCUUAAUUU
rnacentral:lncRNA from 1 species